CGGCCGGGCGAUCGACGUUCCGUGUGCGUGCGGGCGCCUGACUUCACUUCCGGCUAACGCGCUCGGCUUGCCCCCUGGCCCCGGAUGGUGACUGGCGGUGGUGCUGCACCUCCCGGGACUGUCACUGAGCCGCUUCCCAGUGUGAUUGUGCUGAGCGCAGGCCGGAAGAUGGCGGCUGCGGCUGCGGCGGCCUCGGGCCCCGGCUGCUCCUCGGCGGCGGGGGCGGGGGCGGCCGGGGUCUCAGAGUGGCUGGUGCUGCGGGACGGCUGCAUGCACUGCGACGCCGACGGGCUGCACAGCCUGUCCUACCACCCUGCGCUCAACGCCAUCCUGGCCGUCACUAGCCGCGGGACCAUCAAAGUCAUCGACGGCACCUCGGGGGCCACACUGCAGGCCUCCGCGCUCAGUGCGAGCCGAAAAUUAGGAUUUGAAGCUAAACCAGGUGGACAGGUGAAAUGUCAGUAUAUUUCUGCUGUGGAUAAAGUUAUAUUUGUGGAUGAUUAUGCAGUAGGGUGUAGGAAGGACCUUAAUGGAAUCUUGUUGUUAGACACUGCUCUGCAAACUCCAGUUUCAAAGCAGGAUGAUGUGGUUCAGCUUGAAUUACCCGUUACAGAGGCACAGCAGCUCUUAUCAGCAUGUUUAGAAAAGGUAGAUAUUUCUAGUACAGAGGGUUAUGAUUUGUUCAUCACACAGCUCAAAGAUGGUUUAAAAAAUACAUCUCAUGAGACUGCAGCAAACCACAAAGUUGCUAAGUGGGCCACAGUUACAUUUCAUCUUCCUCAUCAUGUGUUGAAGUCCAUUGCCAGUGCCAUUGUAAAUGAACUCAAGAAAAUAAAUCAAAAUGUUGCUGCCUUACCUGUGGCGUCCUCAGUGAUGGACAGAUUGUCUUACCUCUUACCUAGUGCACGUCCAGAACUCGGAGUGGGGCCAGGCCGUUCUGUAGACAGAUCACUGAUGUAUAGUGAAGCUAACAGACGGGAGACAUUUACCUCAUGGCCUCAUGUAGGCUAUAGGUGGGCACAACCAGAUCCCAUGGCUCAAGCUGGAUUUUAUCAUCAGCCUGCCUCAUCUGGAGAUGAUAGAGCCAUGUGUUUUACUUGUAGUGUAUGCCUCGUUUGUUGGGAACCUACUGAUGAACCUUGGUCUGAACACGAAAGACAUUCCCCAAACUGCCCAUUUGUGAAAGGUGAGCACACACAGAAUGUGCCAUUGUCAGUCACUCUUGCAACAAGUCCUGCACAGUUUCCUUGUACGGAUGGAACUGACAGAAUAUCUUGCUUUGGGUCGGGGAGCUGCCCUCAUUUUCUAGCUGCUGCAACUAAACGAGGAAAGAUCUGCAUAUGGGAUGUUUCCAAACUUAUGAAGGUGCACUUAAAGUUUGAAAUUAAUGCCUAUGAUCCAGCAAUUGUACAACAGCUUAUUCUAUCAGGAGACCCAAGCUCAGGAGUUGAUUCAAGGAGACCAACUUUGGCGUGGCUGGAGGACUCCUCUAGUUGCUCAGAUAUACCAAAAUUGGAAGGAGAUAGUGAUGAUUUACUGGAGGAUUCAGACAGUGAAGAGCAUUCCAGAUCAGAUUCUGUGACAGGGCAUACAUCACAGAAGGAAGCCAUGGAAGUAAGCCUUGAUAUAACAGCACUCAGCAUUCUCCAACAGCCAGAAAAACUUCAGUGGGAGAUUGUUGCAAAUGUGCUUGAAGAUACUGUUAAGGAUCUUGAAGAACUUGGGGCAAAUCCUUGUUUAACAAACUCUAAGAGUGAAAAGACAAAGGAAAAGCACCAGGAGCAACACAACAUUCCUUUUCCAUGUUUAUUAGCUGGAGGUUUAUUAACAUAUAAAUCUCCUGCUACCUCACCCAUUAGUAGUAAUUCUCACAGGUCACUGGAUGGUUUAAGCAGAACUCAGGGUGAAAGUAUAUCAGAACAAGGGUCAACUGACAAUGAAUCCUGCACUAAUUCAGAACUAAAUUCUCCUCUGGUAAGGAGGACUUUACCGGUUUUGCUUCUUUAUAGCAUCAAGGAAUCUGAUGAGAAAGCAGGAAAGAUCUUUUCACAGAUGAACAAUAUUAUGAGUAAAAGUUUGCAUGAUGAUGGUUUUACUGUUCCACAGAUUAUUGAAAUGGAGCUGGAUAGUCAGGAGCAGUUGUUAUUGCAGGAUCCUCCUGUGACUUACAUUCAGCAAUUUGCAGAUGCAGCAGCCAACCUUACCUCUCCGGAUUCUGAGAAGUGGAACUCUGUGUUUCCCAAGCCUGGGACUUUGGUUCAGUGCUUGAGGCUGCCAAAGUUUGCAGAGGAGGAGAAUCUUUGUAUAGACUCAAUAACUCCUUGUGCUGACGGAAUUCAUUUGUUGGUAGGACUGCGGACAUGCCCUGUUGAAUCCUUGAGUGCAAUAAAUCAAGUAGAGGCCUUGAAUAAUUUAAAUAAAUUAAACUCUGCACUAUGUAAUAGACGGAAAGGUGAGCUGGAAUCAAAUCUUGCUGUAGUGAAUGGUGCAAAUAUUAGUGUAAUCCAACAUGAAUCACCAGCAGAUGUACAGACUCCUUUAAUAAUUCAGCCUGAGCAGAGGAAUGUUAGUGGUGGAUAUUUAGUGCUUUAUAAAAUGAAUUAUGCCACUCGGAUAGUGACUUUAGAAGAGGAGCCAAUAAAAAUACAACAUAUCAAAGAUCCCCAGGACACAAUUACCUCACUCAUUUUGCUUCCACCCGAUAUAUUGGAUAAUCGAGAGGAUGACUGUGAGGAACCUAUUGAGGACAUGCAGUUAACCUCAAAGAAUGGUUUUGAGAGAGAAAAAACGUCUGACAUUUCUACUCUUGGACACCUGGUAAUAACCACUCAGGGAGGAUAUGUAAAAAUACUAGAUCUUUCAAACUUUGAAAUUUUGGCCAAAGUGGAGCCUCCCAAAAAGGAGGGCACUGAGGAACAGGACACAUUUGUUUCUGUGAUUUACUGUUCUGGCACAGACAGGCUGUGUGCGUGCACCAAAGGUGGUGAGCUUCAUUUUCUCCAAAUUGGAGGAACCUGUGAUGAUAUUGAUGAAGCUGAUAUACUAGUGGAUGGAUCUCUUUGUAAAGGAAUAGAACCAUCUUCAGAAGGUUCCAAACCUUUAUCAAAUCCUUCAAGUCCUGGCAUUUCAGGAGUUGAUUUAUUGGUGGACCAGCCAUUCACCCUUGAAAUCUUGACAUCCCUAGUGGAGCUAACCCGCUUUGAGACUUUGACUCCAAGGUUUUCAGCGACUGUUCCUCCAUGCUGGGUAGAAGUUCAACAAGAACAGCAGCAAAGGAGGCAUCCUCAACAUUUGCAUCAGCAACACCAUGGUGAUGCUGCUCAGCAUACUCGAACUUGGAAACUACAGACCGACAGCAACAGCUGGGAUGAACAUGUAUUUGAAUUAGUACUACCUAAAGCUUGUAUGGUUGGACAUGUGGACUUCAAAUUCGUUUUGAACUCAAACAUCACCAAUAUUCCACAGAUACAAGUGACACUGCUGAAAAAUAAAGCUCCAGGAUUAGGGAAAGUCAAUGAAACAGCAGUAGAUAGGCAGAUCACCUUUCCUUUGUCUCCAGCUCUUAACAUUGAAGUGGAACAAAAUGGGAAACCGUCCCUGGUUGAUUUGAAUGAAGAAAUGCAGCACAUGGAUGUAGAGGAAUCACAGUGUCUUAGAUUAUGUCCAUUUUUGGAGGAUCAUAAAGAAGACAUUCUAUGUGGGCCAGUAUGGCUUGCUAGUGGCCUUGAUCUAUCAGGGCAUGCUGGAAUGUUGACGUUAACAAGCCCCAAACUUGUUAAAGGUAUGGCAGGAGGAAAAUAUCGUUCGUUUUUAAUCCAUGUCAAGGCAGUGAAUGAAAGAGGAACAGAAGAGAUUUGUAAUGGUGGUAUGCGUCCUGUAGUAAGGCUUCCAUCCCUAAAACACCAGAGUAACAAGGGUUAUUCACUUGCUUCACUUUUGGCUAAAGUUGCAGCAGGCAAGGAAAAAUCAUCUAAUGUUAAGAAUGAAAAUACAAGUGGCACCCGUAAAUCUGAAAACCUCCGGGGCUGUGAUUUACUUCAAGAGGUCUCAGUCACCAUUCGAAGAUUUAAGAAAACUUCAAUUUCUAAGGAAAGAGUGCAACGAUGUGCCAUGUUACAGUUUUCAGAAUUUCAUGAGAAGCUUCUUAAUACUCUUUGCAGAAAAACAGAUGAUGGCCAGAUCACAGAACAUGCCCAGAGCCUUGUGUUGGAUACUCUCUGUUGGUUAGCUGGAGUUCAUUCAAAUGGACCCGGAAGCUCAAAGGAAGGAAAUGAGAACCUACUUUCAAAAACACGAAAAUUUCUGUCAGACAUCGUACGUGUUUGCUUCUUUGAGGCAGGACGAAGUAUAGCCCAUAAGUGUGCCCGAUUUCUAGCCUUGUGCAUUAGUAAUGGCAAAUGUGACCCAUGUCAACCAGCAUUUGGAUCUGUUCUGUUGAAGGCUUUACUUGAUAAUAUGUCAUUUUUACCUGCAGCAGCAACUGGUGGUUCUGUCUAUUGGUAUUUUGUCUUACUGAAUUACGUGAAAGAUGAAGAUCUGGCUGGAUGCAGUACAGCUUGUGCAUCUUUGCUUACUGCAGUGUCCAGACAGUUACAGGACAGGCUAACACCAAUGGAGGCUUUACUUCAGACAAGAUAUGGAUUAUAUAGCUCACCAUUUGAUCCAGUCCUCUUUGAUUUGGAGAUGAGUGGCUCUUCUUGUAAAAAUGUUUAUAACAGCAGCAUUGGUGUCCAGUCAGAUGAAAUUGAUUUAUCAGAUGUCCUUUCAGGAAAUGGAAAGGUCAGUAGUUGCACAGCUGCUGAGGGUAGUUUCACAUCUCUCACUGGACUUUUGGAAGUUGAACCUCUGCACUUUACUUGUGUGUCAACUAGUGAUGGAACCAGAAUAGAAAGGGAUGAUGCAAGUACGUUUACUGUGAGUUCCUUCGGGGUUACUCCUGCAGUAGGUGGACUAUCAUCUGGGACAGUUGGGGAAGCCUCGACAGCCCUGAGUUCAGCAGCCCAGGUAGCUUUGCAGUCUCUCUCUCAUGCAAUGGCUUCAGCCGAGCAACAGCUACAGGUGCUGCAAGAGAAACAGCAGCAGCUUUUGAAGCUUCAGCAACAGAAAGCAAAGCUGGAAGCCAAGUUACAUCAGACAACAGCUGCAGCAGCUGCAGCAGCAUCAGCAGUAGGUCCUGUUCACAACUCUGUGCCUUCCAACCCAGUGGCUGCCCCUGGAUUCUUCAUUCAUCCAUCUGAUGUUAUUCCACCCACUCCAAAAACAACACCUCUUUUUAUGACUCCACCACUCACUCCACCCAAUGAAGCAGUUUCCGUUGUGAUUAAUGCCGAACUUGCACAGCUUUUCCCAGGCUCAGUCAUUGAUCCCCCAGCAGUCAAUCUUGCUGCACAUAACAAAAAUUCCAACAAGUCCAGAAUGAAUCCACUUGGUUCUGGUCUAGCCCUUGCAAUUUCUCAUGCUUCACAUUUUCUUCAACCUCCGCCUCACCAGUCCAUUAUUAUAGAGCGAAUGCAUUCAGGAGCAAGGAGAUUUGUGACCUUGGAUUUUGGGAGGCCUAUAUUGUUGACUGAUGUAUUGAUUCCCACUUGUGGAGACUUGGCCUCUUUGUCAAUUGACAUUUGGACAUUAGGAGAAGAGGUGGAUGGAAGGCGGUUGGUAGUGGCAACUGAUAUAAGCACCCAUUCACUAAUUCUUCAUGACUUAAUACCACCUCCCGUGUGCAGAUUCAUGAAGAUCACUGUCAUUGGACGUUACGGGAGUACAAAUGCCAGAGCCAAAAUCCCAUUAGGAUUUUACUAUGGUCAUACCUACAUCUUGCCUUGGGAAAGUGAACUGAAGUUAAUGCAUGAUCCUCUAAAGGGAGAGGGAGAAUCUGCAAACCAGCCAGAAAUUGACCAGCAUUUAGCAAUGAUGGUUGCUUUACAGGAGGAUAUACAGUGCAGGUAUAACUUGGCUUGUCAUCGUCUGGAAACCCUUUUGCAAAGUAUUGAUCUUCCUCCUCUAAACAGUGCUAACAAUGCACAGUACUUUUUACGAAAACCAGAUAAGGCAGUUGAGGAAGACAGUAGGGUUUUUUCUGCUUAUCAAGAUUGUAUUCAGCUACAGCUUCAACUAAAUUUGGCUCAUAAUGCAGUGCAGAGGCUCAAAGUGGCGCUAGGUGCAAGCCGGAAGAUGUUGAAUGAAACAUCAAAUCCAGAAGAUUUAAUUCAGACAUCUUCCACAGAGCAGUUACGUACUAUCAUCAGAUAUUUACUGGACACUUUGCUCAGCCUGCUUCAUGCUUCUAAUGGACACUCUGUUCCUGCAGUUUUGCAGAGCACAUUUCAUGCCCAGGCCUGUGAAGAGCUCUUUAAACACUUGUGCAUCAGUGGAACCCCAAAGAUACGGUUACAUACUGGUCUUCUUCUUGUUCAACUGUGUGGUGGUGAAAGAUGGUGGGGUCAAUUUCUUUCUAAUGUCCUUCAGGAAUUGUACAAUUCGGAACAGCUUCUCAUCUUUCCACAGGAUAGGGUCUUCAUGUUACUUUCCUGCAUUGGUCAAAGAUCACUUAGUAAUAGUGGAGUAUUAGAAAGCUUACUUAAUCUCUUGGAUAAUUUAUUGUCACCUCUUCAGCCACAGUUACCCAUGCAUAGGAGGACAGAAGGAGUACUAGAUAUUCCCAUGAUCAGUUGGGUUGUUAUGCUGGUGUCCAGGUUGCUGGAUUAUGUGGCAACUGUUGAAGAUGAAGCAGCAGCUGCAAAGAAACCUUUGAAUGGUAAAGACAGGGAGAGGUUUCUGACAGGUAAUCAGUGGAGUUUUAUUAACAAUAAUCUACACACUCAGAGCUUAAAUAGAUCUUCUAAAGGCAGCAGUAGCCUUGAUAGAUUAUAUUCCAGAAAAAUCAGAAAGCAGCUUGUUCAUCAUAAACAGCAACUUAACCUACUAAAAGCAAAGCAGAAGGCAUUGGUAGAACAGAUGGAAAAAGAAAAAAUACAAAGUAACAAAGGAUCAUCAUAUAAACUCCUGGUAGAACAAGCAAAACUAAAGCAGGCCACUUCAAAGCACUUUAAGGAUUUAAUUCGUUUACGUCGGACAGCAGAAUGGUCCCGUUCUAAUUUAGACACAGAAGUUACAACAGCAAAAGAAAGUCCUGAGAUAGAACCACUUCCAUUUACUCUGGCCCAUGAACGUUGUAUCUCAGUAGUCCAGAAACUUGUUCUGUUUCUUCUCUCCAUGGACUUUACCUGUCAUGCAGAUCUCUUAUUGUUUGUUUGUAAGGUUCUUGCACGCAUUGCAAAUGCCACGAGGCCAACUAUUCAUCUGUGUGAGAUUGUGAACGAACCCCAGCUGGAAAGACUGCUGUUACUUUUGGUUGGAACUGACUUCAAUAGAGGAGAUAUAUCUUGGGGUGGUGCUUGGGCUCAGUAUUCCUUAACUUGCAUGCUACAAGAUAUUUUAGCAGGAGAAUUACUGGCUCCAGUAGCCGCAGAAGCCAUGGAGGAAGGAACAGUGGGUGAUGAUGUAGGUGCGACAGCUGGUGACUCUGAUGACUCCCUUCAACAGUCCUCAGUUCAGUUGCUGGAAACUGUAGAUGAACCUUUGACACAUGACAUAACAGGUGCACCUCCUCUGUCCUCUUUGGAAAAAGAUAAAGAAAUUGACCUUGAGUUACUUCAGGAUCUAAUGGAAGUUGACAUUGAUCCUUUAGAUAUUGAUUUGGAAAAGGACCCUCUUGCAGCCAAGGUUUUUAAGCCAAUAAGCAGUACAUGGUAUGAUUAUUGGGGUGCUGAUUAUGGGACCUACAAUUACAACCCUUACAUUGGAGGUCUGGGAAUUCCUGUAGCAAAGCCACCAGCAAACACGGAGAAGAACGGAUCACAGACAGUUAGCGUUUCAGUCUCUCAGGCCCUGGAUGCUCGCCUAGAAGUUGGACUUGAACAGCAAGCAGAACUGAUGUUGAAAAUGAUGUCUACUCUGGAGGCAGAUUCCAUUUUACAGGCAUUAACAAAUACAUCUCCUACGUUAUCACAGUCUCCCACUGGAACAGAUGAUUCACUUCUAGGGGGUUUACAAGCAGCAAACCAAACCAGCCAGCUUAUUAUACAGUUAUCAUCUGUCCCAAUGUUAAAUGUUUGUUUCAACAAACUUUUUUCCAUGCUUCAAGUCCAUCAUGUUCAGUUGGAGUCACUUCUCCAAUUGUGGCUCACACUGAGCCUGAAUUCUAGUUCAUCUGGAAACAAAGAAAAUGGAGCAGACAUAUUUUUAUAUAAUGCUAAUAGGAUACCUGUUAUUUCAUUAAAUCAAGCAUCAAUAACUAGCUUUCUCACAGUGUUAGCUUGGUAUCCCAAUACUUUGCUCCGGACAUGGUGCCUUGUGCUUCAUAGCCUAACACUCAUGACAAACAUGCAGCUUAAUUCUGGUUCCAGCAGUGCCAUUGGAACUCAGGAGAGUACUGCUCAUUUGUUGGUUUCAGAUCCAAACCUAAUUCAUGUAUUAGUGAAAUUUCUUUCUGGCACCAGUCCACAUGGAACAAAUCAACACAGUCCACAGGUUGGUCCCACAGCUACACAAGCUAUGCAAGAAUUUCUUACUCGAUUACAAGUGCAUCUUUCUUCAACAUGUCCUCAGAUAUUCAGUGAAUUUUUGCUCAAGCUAAUUCAUAUACUUUCAACUGAAAGGGGUGCUUUCCAGACAGGCCAAGGACCUCUCGAUGCCCAAGUGAAGCUCUUAGAAUUCACUCUGGAGCAGAAUUUUGAAGUCGUUUCAGUUAGUACUAUUUCUGCCGUGAUAGAAUCGGUUACAUUUUUAGUGCACCACUAUAUCACUUGCUCAGACAAAGUAAUGUCAAGAAGUGGAUCAGAUAGCUCCGUGGGUGCUCGAGCAUGCUUUGGGGGACUCUUUGCCAAUCUUAUUCGUCCGGGUGAUGCAAAAGCAGUUUGUGGCGAAAUGACAAGAGAUCAACUCAUGUUUGAUUUGUUAAAACUUGUUAACAUUUUAGUGCAGCUGCCUCUUUCAGGCAAUAGGGAAUACAGUGCAAGAGUGUCUGUGACCACAAAUACAACAGAUAGUGUUUCAGAUGAAGAAAAAGUCUCAGGAGGCAAAGAUGGCAAUGGAAGCAGUACCAGUGUUCAAGGAUCGCCUGCAUAUGUUGCUGACUUAGUCUUAGCCAACCAACAAAUUAUGAGCCAGAUUUUGUCUGCUCUGGGCCUGUGUAAUAGCAGUGCCAUGGCAAUGAUAAUUGGAGCAAGUGGAUUACAUCUCACUAAACAUGAAAACUUUCAUGGUGGGUUGGAUGCCAUAUCAGUUGGGGAUGGAUUAUUUACCAUACUGACAACCCUUAGUAAGAAAGCUUCUACAGUCCACAUGAUGCUGCAGCCAAUUUUAACAUACAUGGCCUGUGGAUAUAUGGGCAGACAAGGCUCUCUUGCUACUUGCCAGUUAUCUGAGCCAUUAUUGUGGUUCAUUUUGAGAGUAUUGGAUACUAGUGAUGCCUUGAAAGCAUUUCAUGAUAUGGGUGGUGUUCAGCUCAUAUGCAAUAAUAUGGUUACUAGUACAAGGGCUAUUGUGAACACUGCAAGAAGUAUGGUAUCAACUAUUAUGAAAUUUCUUGACUCUGGUCCAAAUAAAGCUGUUGACAGCACAUUGAAAACAAGAAUACUAGCUUCUGAGCCUGAUAAUGCUGAAGGGAUUCAUAACUUUGCACCCCUUGGUACAAUCACAUCUAGCAGUCCUACUGCCCAACCAGCUGAAGUGCUAUUGCAGGCCACACCUCCUCACAGAAGAGCUCGCUCUGCUGCUUGGUCCUACAUCUUUCUUCCAGAGGAGGCUUGGUGUGACCUUACCAUUCACCUUCCUGCAGCAGUGCUGCUUAAGGAGAUACAUAUCCAGCCUCAUCUUGCAUCUCUUGCAACCUGCCCUUCCUCAGUGUCUGUUGAAGUAAGUGCAGAUGGGGUAAAUAUGCUACCUUUGUCCACUCCUGUUGUCACAAGUGGCCUCACCUACAUAAAAAUUCAGCUUGUAAAAGCCGAAGUAGCUUCUGCUGUCUGCCUUAGACUACAUCGUCCACGGGAUGCCAGCACAUUAGGCCUUUCACAAAUUAAAUUAUUGGGGCUCACUGCUUUUGGUACCACCUCUUCUGCAACAGUUAAUAAUCCAUUCCUUCCAUCUGAAGAUCAGGUAUCCAAAACAAGUAUUGGAUGGUUACGGUUAUUACAUCAUUGCCUUACUCACAUAAGUGAUCUAGAAGGAAUGAUGGCAAGUGCAGCUGCACCUACUGCUAAUCUGCUGCAGACUUGUGCGGCCUUAUUGAUGUCACCUUACUGUGGAAUGCAUUCACCCAACAUCGAGGUUGUGCUUGUAAAGAUAGGACUGCAGUCUACUAGAAUUGGCCUGAAGCUCAUAGACAUUCUCCUGAGAAAUUGUGCAGCAUCAGGCAGUGAUCCUACAGAUUUGAAUAGUCCUUUACUUUUUGGAAGACUAAAUGGACUCUCUUCUGACUCUACGAUAGAUAUUCUUUACCAGCUUGGAACAACUCAGGAUCCUGGUACAAAAGACAGAAUUCAGGCCUUGUUAAAAUGGGUUAGUGAUUCUGCAAGAGUGGCUGCUAUGAAGAGAAGUGGCAGGAUGAACUACAUGUGUCCUAACUCCUCAACAGUAGAGUAUGGUCUUCUGAUGCCAUCUCCUUCUCAUUUGCACUGUGUAGCAGCCAUUCUGUGGCACAGUUAUGAGCUGCUUGUAGAAUAUGACUUACCAGCACUCCUGGACCAAGAGCUCUUUGAGUUACUUUUUAAUUGGUCCAUGUCUCUUCCCUGCAAUAUGGUUUUGAAGAAAGCUGUUGACAGUCUACUUUGCUCAAUGUGUCACGUACACCCAAACUAUUUUUCUUUGCUCAUGGGCUGGAUGGGAAUUACCCCUCCUCCAGUGCAAUGUCAUCAUAGACUGUCCAUGACAGAUGAUAGCAAAAAGCAGGAUCUUAGUUCAUCUUUAACAGAUGACUCUAAAAAUGCACAAGCACCUCUCGCAUUAACUGAAUCACAUUUGGCUACCCUUGCUUCCUCUUCUCAAUCUCCUGAAGCUAUUAAACAAUUACUAGACUCAGGUUUGCCUUCUCUUCUUGUGAGGAGUCUGGCUAGUUUCUGCUUUAGCCACAUUUCUAACUCAGAAAGCAUUGCUCAGUCAAUAGAUAUUUCCCAGGACAAACUCAGGCGCCAUCAUGUCCCACAACAAUGUAAUAAGAUGCCUAUCACAGCCGACCUAGUUGCUCCUAUUCUUAGGUUUUUGACAGAAGUUGGCAAUAGCCAUAUUAUGAAAGAUUGGCUUGGUGGUUCUGAAGUCAAUCCACUAUGGACAGCACUUCUGUUUUUAUUGUGUCACUCUGGGUCCACUUCUGGAAGCCAUAAUUUAGGUGCACAACAGACCAGUGCAAGAUCAGCUUCUCUUUCUUCAGCUGCUACAACAGGAUUGACUACUCAACAGCGCACAGCAAUUGAGAAUGCAACUGUUGCAUUCUUUCUACAGUGCAUUUCAUGCCAUCCUAAUAAUCAAAAGCUGAUGGCACAGGUUCUUUGUGAACUAUUUCAGACAUCUCCUCAAAGAGGGAACCUUCCAACAUCUGGGAACAUUUCAGGGUUUAUACGAAGAUUAUUUUUACAGUUGAUGCUGGAAGAUGAGAAAGUGACAAUGUUUCUUCAGUCUCCAUGUCCACUGUACAAAGGUAGAAUUAAUGCUACUAGCCACGUCAUCCAGCAUCCAAUGUAUGGAGCAGGCCACAAAUUCCGUACUCUUCAUUUGCCAGUCUCAACAACAUUAUCAGAUGUUCUUGACAGAGUGUCAGAUACUCCAAGUAUCACAGCCAAAUUAAUUAGUGAACAAAAAGAUGACAAAGAAAAGAAAAACCAUGAAGAGAAAGAAAAAGUUAAAGCGGAAAAUGGAUUUCAAGACAAUUACAGUGUUGUUGUUGCCUCUGGGCUGAAGUCUCAAUCUAAACGUGCUGUGUCAGCUACACCACCUCGCCCACCAUCCAGGAGGGGGAGGACAAUACCUGAUAAAAUAGGAAGUACUUCAGGAGCAGAGGCUGCCAACAAAAUAAUUACUGUCCCAGUGUUUCACCUGUUUCACAAACUCUUGGCAGGCCAGCCAUUGCCAGCUGAAAUGACACUUGCCCAGCUUUUAACCCUCCUAUAUGACCGAAAGCUUCCUCAGGGUUACCGCUCAAUAGAUCUGACUGUUAAAUUGGGAUCAAGAGUUAUAACAGACCCCAGUCUAUCAAAAACAGAUUCUUAUAAAAGACUACACCCUGAAAAAGAUCAUGGAGACUUACUUGCUAGCUGUCCAGAAGAUGAAGCUCUCACUCCAGGUGAUGAAUGCAUGGAUGGGAUACUGGAUGAAUCUUUGCUUGAAACCUGUCCAAUUCAGUCACCAUUACAAGUUUUUGCAGGAAUGGGUGGACUGGCUCUUAUUGCUGAAAGACUACCCAUGCUAUAUCCAGAAGUAAUUCAACAGGUGAGUGCUCCAGUUGUAACAUCUACCACUCAGGAAAAGCCGAAGGAUAGCGAUCAGUUUGAAUGGGUGACCAUUGAACAGUCAGGGGAGUUAGUUUAUGAAGCACCAGAAACUGUUGCGGCUGAACCUCCACCUAUCAAGUCAGCAGUACAGACCAUGUCUCCCAUACCUGCCCAUUCUUUGGCUGCUUUUGGAUUAUUUCUUCGUCUUCCGGGCUAUGCGGAAGUGCUACUGAAAGAGAGAAAACAUGCCCAGUGCCUUCUUCGAUUGGUAUUGGGAGUGACUGAUGAUGGAGAAGGAAGUCAUAUUCUUCAAUCUCCAUCAGCCAAUGUGCUUCCAACCCUUCCUUUCCACGUCCUUCGUAGCUUGUUUAGCACUACACCUUUGACAACUGAUGAUGGUGUACUUCUAAGGCGGAUGGCAUUGGAAAUUGGAGCCUUACACCUCAUUCUUGUCUGUCUCUCUGCUUUGAGCCACCAUGCCCCACGAGUUCCAAACUCUAGCGUGAAUCAAACUGAGCCACAGGUGUCAAGCUCUCAUAACCCUACAUCAACAGAAGAACAACAGUUAUAUUGGGCCAAAGGGACUGGCUUUGGAACAGGCUCUACAGCUUCUGGGUGGGAUGUGGAACAAGCCUUAACUAAGCAAAGGCUGGAAGAGGAACAUGUUACCUGCCUUCUGCAGGUUCUUGCCAGUUACAUAAAUCCCGUCAGUAGUGCGGUAAAUGGAGAAGCUCAGUCAUCUCAUGAGACUAGAGGGCAGAACAGUAAUGCCCUUCCUUCUGUACUUCUCGAGCUUCUCAGUCAGUCCUGCCUCAUCCCAGCCAUGUCAUCUUAUCUGCGAAAUGAUUCAGUUCUGGACAUGGCAAGACAUGUGCCACUCUAUCGGGCACUGCUGGAAUUGCUUCGGGCCAUUGCUUCUUGUACUGCCAUGGUGCCCCUAUUGUUGCCCCUUUCUACAGAGAACGGUGAAGAGGAAGAAGAACAGUCAGAAUGUCAAACUUCUGUUGGUACAUUGUUAGCCAAAAUGAAGACCUGUGUUGAUACCUAUACCAACCGUUUAAGGGCAGUGAUCACAACCAGAUUCAACGUAUGCACAAAGCAGCGGAUACCAUGGUAGCGGCCGUCGCUGAUUGCUUUUACCAUGUUGGAUCCAUUGUCAGUCUCAAAGACCUACUUCCAGCUAGGUGCCUUGAACUCAAAUAGCUUUUCACACAGACUUCAGGAUGUGAGCUAAGAUCUAAAAGGGAAAAUGUUAAAACAGGAGUAAAACCAGAUGCGUCUGAUCAAGAACCAGAAGGACUUACUCUUUUGGUACCCGACAUCCAAAAGACUGCUGAGAUAGUUUAUGCAGCCACCACCAGUUUGCGGCAAGCAAAUCAGGAAAAAAAACUGGGUGAAUACUCCAAGAAGGCGGCUAUGAAACCCAAACCUUUGUCAGUAUUAAAGUCACUUGAAGAAAAAUAUGUGGCUGUUAUGAAGAAAUUACAGUUCGAUACAUUUGAAAUGGUUUCUGAAGAUGAAGAUGGGAAAUUGGGAUUUAAAGUAAAUUACCACUACAUGUCUCAGGUGAAAAAUGCUAAUGAUGCGAACAGUGCUGCCAGAGCUCGCCGCCUUGCCCAGGAAGCUGUGACACUUUCAACCUCACUGCCUCUGUCUUCAUCCUCUAGUGUGUUUGUACGCUGUGAUGAGGAGCGACUUGACAUCAUGAAGGUUCUAAUAACUGGUCCAGAGGACACCCCUUAUGCAAAUGGCUGCUUUGAGUUUGAUGUGUAUUUUCCUCAAGAUUAUCCCAGUUCACCCCCUCUUGUGAAUCUAGAGACAACUGGUGGUCAUAGCGUGCGAUUCAAUCCAAACCUUUAUAAUGAUGGCAAGGUUUGUUUAAGCAUCUUAAACACGUGGCAUGGAAGACCAGAAGAGAAGUGGAAUCCUCAGACCUCAAGCUUUUUGCAAGUGUUGGUGUCUGUCCAGUCCCUUAUAUUAGUAGCUGAGCCUUAUUUUAAUGAACCGGGAUAUGAACGGUCUAGAGGCACUCCCAGUGGCACACAGAGUUCUCGAGAAUAUGAUGGAAACAUUCGACAAGCAACAGUUAAGUGGGCAAUGCUAGAACAAAUCAGAAACCCUUCACCAUGUUUUAAAGAGGUAAUACACAAACAUUUUUACUUGAAAAGAGUUGAGAUAAUGGCCCAAUGUGAGGAGUGGAUUGCGGAUAUCCAGCAGUACAGCAGUGAUAAGCGGGUAGGCAGGACUAUGUCUCACCAUGCAGCAGCUCUCAAGCGUCACACUGCUCAGCUCCGCGAAGAGUUGCUGAAACUUCCCUGCCCUGAAGGCUUGGAUCCUGACACUGAUGAUGCCCCAGAGAUGUGCAGAGCCACAACAGGUGCUGAGGAGACUCUAAUGCAUGAUCAGGUUAAACCCAGCAGCAGCAAAGAACUCCCCAGUGACUUCCAGUUAUGAGCUGCAUUGAUGUGGACUUCAUAGACACAAAGGCUUCGAAGCACAAGCCAAAUAUGUCAAUAUUUGUAUGUAAGAAACUAAUUAUGUAAUAGGUAAUGAAACUGAAACUAUACUAUGCCCUUAAGGAGAUCCAGUUUAAUUCAAGGUGAUCUUUUAUUUACCUGUACAGGAGUGUAAACUUUUUUGUGCUUUUAUUUUUCAAUUGUGAGAACCACUGAUUGGUAUGUUCAACAAAUUUGUGUAUACAAAGAAAUGGAUAAAUCACUGCUAUAUAAGGGAAACUACCUUAGGAAAGAAUGUUUACUGAAUGUUUAUUUUAUUUUAUUUUUUACUGUAGAGUGAGGGGUUGUUAACAAAGAAUAUAUAUUGGUCAUUCUUACAACUACUAUUUAAAGUCAGCAACUUUUCACUGAAUUUGAUAGAUUUUAUGUUUGGCCAUAUCUUCAUGCUCACAUUUGAUUUCUGAAGACCUCCUACAUACACUUCAAUAAAAGUUAAAUGGACAUACUCCCUCUUUUUUGAUUUACUGGUACAUUUUUAAAAUAAUAAAUCUGCCAUAAAAUGCAUUAUAUCUCGAGACUUGCACUUGUAUGGAUGAAUUUAUUACAUUCAACAUAUUUAAUUUUAUGCCUUCUAAUUCUAAGAUGCAGAAAAAAAUAAAUGAACAUGAUUUUAUUCUAUGCCAACAUUUGGGCCUCUGAAUGUAUCUGUUAUUUGAAUUUAAGUAUUUGAAAAGGAAUGGUCAAUUUGAAAGUCAUUCUAAACUGAUUUUUUUUCUAAAGGGCUCCUUUUUUGCUGGACUAUGUGGUUUUAUGACUAAAGUCACAUGUAUGUAUUAAACAUUGAGGCUCUGUAGAGGAGAGAGGAUGUACCUCUCUGGUGCUGUUACAGUACAUUCUGUACCUGCCAUACAGGCUCAUUUUCAUGCAAAUUCUUCCUAGAGCCAAAUAAAUAAAGACUUAGGUGAAUUA